rnacentral:snoRNA from 1 species
UUCUAUGAUGAUUAUUUGAUAUUCACACUGUGUGACGCGGCGGCUUCGUAACGGUUGUCGUCGCCCUGAUCACUUUAAAAAAUCUGAUUUAAUGAGGUAUGUUG